rnacentral:tRNA from 1 species
GUUGUGGCUCAGCGGUAGAGCACUCGCCUAGCAUGUGCCAGGCCCAGGGUUCCAUCCUCAGCAUCACA